GACGAACGCUGGCGGCGUGCCUAACACAUGCAAGUCGAACGGAAAGGCCCUGCUUUUGUGGGGUGCUCGAGUGGCGAACGGGUGAGUAACACGUGAGUAACCUGCCCUUGACUUUGGGAUAACUUCAGGAAACUGGGGCUAAUACCGGAUAGGAGCUCCUGCUGCAUGGUGGGGGUUGGAAAGUUUCGGCGGUUGGGGAUGGACUGGCGGCUUAUCAGCUUGUUGGUGGGGUAGUGGCUUACAAAGGCUUUGACGGGUAGCCGGCCUGAGAGGGUGACCGGCCUCAAUGGGACUACGGGACGGCCCAGACUCCUACGGGAGGCAGCAGUGGGAAAUAUUGCGCAAUGGGCGGAAGCCUGAUGCAGCGGCGCCGCGUGCGGGAUGACGGCCUUCGGGUUGUAAACCGCUUUCGCCUGUGACGAAGCGUGAGUGACGGUAAUGGGUAAGAAAGCACCGGCUAACUACGUG
rnacentral:rRNA from 1 species